UACAGAGGUCUCAAGCGUUGUUCGGAUUCAUUGGGCGUAAAGGGUGCGUAGGCUGUAGCGUAAGUCUAGUGUGAAAUUUCGGAGCUCAACUUCGAAACUGCACGGGAUACUGCGUUACUCGAGGACUGUAGAGGAGAUUGGAAUUCACGGUGUAGCAGUGAAAUGCGUAGAUAUCGUGAGGAAGGCCAGUGGCGAAAGCGAAUCUCUGGGCAGUUCCUGACGCUGAGGCACGAAGGCCAGGGGAGCAAACGGG
rnacentral:rRNA from 1 species